rnacentral:rRNA from 1 species
GCGGACAGAUGGGAGCUUGCUCCCUGAUAGUUAGCGGCGGACGGGUGAGUAACACGUGGGUAACCUGCCUGUAAGACUGGGAUAACUCCGGGAAACCGGGGCUAAUACCGGAUGGUUGUUUGAACCGCAUGGUUCAGACAUAAAAGGUGGCUUCGGCUACCACUUACAGAUGGACCCGCGGCGCAUUAGCUAGUUGGUGAGGUAACGGCUCACCAAGGCGACGAUGCGUAGCCGACCUGAGAGGGUGAUCGGCCACACUGGGACUGAGACACGGCCCAGACUCCUACGGGAGGCAGCAGUAGGGAAUCUUCCGCAAUGGACGAAAGUCUGACGGAGCAACGCCGCGUGAGUGAUGAAGGUUUUCGGAUCGUAAAGCUCUGUUGUUAGGGAAGAACAAGUGCCGUUCAAAUAGGGCGGCACCUUGACGGUACCUAACCAGAAAGCCACGGCUAACUACGUGCCAGCAGCCGCGGUAAUACGUAGGUGGCAAGCGUUGUCCGGAAUUAUUGGGCGUAAAGGGCUCGCAGGCGGUUUCUUAAGUCUGAUGUGAAAGCCCCCGGCUCAACCGGGGAGGGUCAUUGGAAACUGGGGAACUUGAGUGCAGAAGAGGAGAGUGGAAUUCCACGUGUAGCGGUGAAAUGCGUAGAGAUGUGGAGGAACACCAGUGGCGAAGGCGACUCUCUGGUCUGUAACUGACGCUGAGGAGCGAAAGCGUGGGGAGCGAACAGGAUUAGAUACCCUGGUAGUCCACGCCGUAAACGAUGAGUGCUAAGUGUUAGGGGGUUUCCGCCCCUUAGUGCUGCAGCUAACGCAUUAAGCACUCCGCCUGGGGAGUACGGUCGCAAGACUGAAACUCAAAGGAAUUGACGGGGGCCCGCACAAGCGGUGGAAGCAUGUGGUUUAAUUCGAAGCAACGCGAAGAACCUUACCAGGUCUUGACAUCCUCUGACAAUCCUAGAGAUAGGACGUCCCCUUCGGGGGCAGAGUGACAGGUGGUGCAUGGUUGUCGUCAGCUCGUGUCGUGAGAUGUUGGGUUAAGUCCCGCAACGAGCGCAACCCUUGAUCUUAGUUGCCAGCAUUCAGUUGGGCACUCUAAGGUGACUGCCGGUGACAAACCGGAGGAAGGUGGGGAUGACGUCAAAUCAUCAUGCCCCUUAUGACCUGGGCUACACACGUGCUACAAUGGACAGAACAAAGGGCAGCGAAACCGCGAGGUUAAGCCAAUCCCACAAAUCUGUUCUCAGUUCGGAUCGCAGUCUGCAACUCGACUGCGUGAAGCUGGAAUCGCUAGUAAUCGCGGAUCAGCAUGCCGCGGUGAAUACGUUCCCGGGCCUUGUACACACCGCCCGUCACACCACGAGAGUUUGUAACACCCGAAGUCGGUGAGGUAACCUUUUAGUGAGCACAGCCGCCGAAGGUGGGACAGAUGAUGGG